rnacentral:lncRNA from 1 species
UGGAACUUAACUAUUUUUAACCCUGUAAGUCCAAGACAAACCAGGACUGUUGGUCACCCUAGCUCAAGGCCAACUUCAUCCUUCAUUUGUCAUAUAACUUAACUCUCAGAGACUUGAUUCUAUAUAGUCUGUAAAGUGGAGGUAAUAAUAAUCAUACUCAUAGGCAUUUUUCACACUGUAGUCAUUCCAUCCUGAAAGCCUAAAGUCUCCCCUCCCCUGGCCUUCUCAGGCUCCCUGAUCCUGGGCUGGUCUUGACAGGAUACUGAGCAUGACUUAUGGCAAUGACCUGCUUCCUCUCUGUGUGCUGGGAGCUCCUUGAGGACAGGCCCAUGUUUUAAUCAGCUUUGUUUCUUCAGUCCUUCCCUUGCGCAGUGUCUGCACCAUGGGAAGUGCUUAGUAAUGCUUGUUAAAAUGUCAGUUACUGACAUCAGGAAGGCAGAUCCCGCAAACUGUAACCUGGAAAGUUCACUUCAAGUUUCAAAGAGCUAACCACAUCAGCUAGCACAGAAUGUGUGUCAGAGUCUGCAAAUGCAUUUAGCACAUCUUUGAUUUCUGUCCUUUCAUCCUCCCAACCCCCUUGGGAGAUAGGCAAAGGCGUUAUUAUUUCCUUUAUCAUACACACAAGGAACCUGAGGCUUAGAGAUGGUAGGUGACUUGCCCAAGGUCACACAGCUAGAAACCAGAGGGUGUCUUUGCCACACAUAAACUACAGUGACCCACUAAUUGCCUCCCAGGCUCAUCUUCAGUAAAAACAUGGCCUCUGAUUGCCUCGGCCCCUUCCUAAUCUGCAGAUCCAGGGAGACCCAAGGCACGGGACAGAAACAGCCACAUCAAGGCCCCUGUCCCAGGAUUCCGCAGUGAAUCUUCCUAGUGCUAGGAGACCAUUUUCACAACCUAAUCAAUGAUCCCAUUAUUGACUUGGUGUUCCCAGAGGACAGGUUUAAAACUUUAUCGAGCACUGUAUGUGGGGGCAAUUAUAGGGAUAAUGGAAAAUCAUCGACAAAUGGAGGCUUCUGCAUUGCAAAUUAACGAGGCCCCUAGGUUUCCAUGGCUUCUUCUUGCCUCCCCUUGGGUUGGCAAUGGUAACGUUGACCGUUUCACAGCCGCCUUAUCUGUGCCCAGAGCUGUGUGCCCAUUCUGUCCUCAAGGUACCCCACUUCCUGUAGGAGGUAGGUGAUCUCAUACUCCCAUUUCCAUGACUGACUCAGCCAUGUCACACAGCUGGUGAAUGGUGGCUGAGCCCACAUCCAAUGGCUGUCUGGCCCCAAAGCCACUCUGCUCUCUUGACUCUCAGAUUUUUUUUUUUUUUUUUUGAGACGGAGUCUCACUCUGUCGCCCAGGCUGGAGUGCAGUGGCAUGAUCUCGGCUCACUGCAAGCUCCACCUCCUGGGUUCACGCCAUUCUCCGGCCUCAGCCUCCAGAGUAGCUGGGACUACAGGCGCCCGCCACCA